AACGAACGCUGGCGGCAUGCCUAACACAUGCAAGUCGAACGAGACCUUCGGGUCUAGUGGCGCACGGGUGCGUAACGCGCGGGAAUCUGCCCUUGGGUUCGGAAUAACUCAGAGAAAUUUGAGCUAACACCGGAUGAUGACGAAAGUCCAAAGAUUUAUCGCCCAAGGAUGAGCCCGCGUAAGAUUAGCUUGUUGGUGGGGUAAUGGCCCACCAAGGCGACGAUCUUUAGCUGGUCUGAGAGGAUGAUCAGCCACACUGGGACUGAGACACGGCCCAGACUCCUACGGGAGGCAGCAGUGGGGAAUAUUGGACAAUGGGCGAAAGCCUGAUCCAGCAAUGCCGCGUGAGUGAUGAAGGCCUUAGGGUUGUAAAGCUCUUUUACCAGGGAUGAUAAUGACAGUGCCUGGAGAAUAAGCUCCGGCUAACUCCGUGCCAGCCGCCGCAGUAAUAC
rnacentral:rRNA from 1 species